CCUACGGGGCGCAGCAGUGGGGAAUAUUGGGCAAUGGACGCAAGUCUGACCCAGCAACGCCGCGUGAAGGAAGAAGGCUUUCGGGUUGUAAACUUCUUUUAAGGGGGAAGAGCAGAAGACGGUACCCCGUGAAUAAGCCACGGCUAACUACGUGCCAGCAGCCGCGGUAAUACGUAGGUGGCAAGCGUUAUCCGGAUUUAUUGGGUGUAAAGGGCGUGUAGGCGGGAAAGCAAGUCAGAUGUGAAAACUCAGGGCUCAACCCUGAGCCUGCAUUUGAAACUGUUUUUCUUGAGUGCUGGAGAGGC
rnacentral:rRNA from 1 species